GACGUAGGGCGCGAGCGUUGUCCGGAUUUACUGGGCGUAAAGCGCGUGUAGGCGGCCCUGCAAGUCGGGUGUGAAAUCCCAUGGCUCAACCAUGGAAGUGCACUCGAAACUGCAGGGCUAGAGUCCUGGAGAGGAAGGUGGAAUGCUUGGUGUAGAGGUGAAAUUCGUAGAUAUCAAGCGGAACACCGGUGGCGAAGGCGGGUCUCUGGGCCGAUACUGACGCUGAGGAGCGAAAGCGUGGGGAGCGAACAGG
rnacentral:rRNA from 1 species